rnacentral:rRNA from 1 species
GAACGCUAGCGGCAGGCUUAACACAUGCAAGUCGAGGGGCAGCAUGAGACGGAGAUUCGUCAAAGUCUUGAUGGCGACCGGCGCAAGGGUGCGUAACGCGUGAGCAACUUGCCCGUUUCUGGGGAAUAACCGGUGGAAACGCCGACUAAUACCCCAUAGUAUCAGAUUUAGGCAUCUUUAUCUGAUUAAAGAAUUUCGGAAACGGAUAGGCUCGCGUGACAUUAGCUAGAUGGCGGGGUAACGGCCCACCAUGGCAACGAUGUCUAGGGGUUCUGAGAGGAAGGUCCCCCACACUGGAACUGAGACACGGUCCAGACUCCUACGGGAGGCAGCAGUGAGGAAUAUUGGUCAAUGGUCUAACGACUGAACCAGCCAUGCCGCGUGAAGGUCACGGCCCUAUGGGUCUUAAACUUCUUUUGUAAGGGAGCAAUAAGCUUUACGUGUAGAGUGAUGAGAGUACCUUACGAAUAAGCAUCGGCUAACUCCGUG